UGUUUUCCAUAGUGGCUGCACCAGUUUGCACUCCCACCAGCAGUGUAUGAGAGUUCCCUUCUCUCCACAUCCUCGCCAGCCCUUGUUAUCUCCUGUCUUUUUGAUGACAGCCUUUCUCACAGGAUCACAAUAGUCAUCUGUACCGCAAUGGCAAGAUGUGAAUUAUAUAUGAAAUUUAAAAUGCCUCUCUGCACCGAGGGGAAAUAGCUGUUCCAGAUAAUCACCGCUCCUGGGUACCAGGAAGCAGAUCAGCAUCCUGGAGCCAUAGAUGAGAGAAUAGCUAUUUGGAAGUCGAAUGUGGAGCAGAGCUUUUCUUCGUCCACGAGCGUGGCCAGCCCCUCGCUCAUUGUAGUUCAUCAACAUUUGACUUCAUUUUCUUUUUGAAUGUAUGAAGAUCUCCUGUAAUGUCUGAGGCUCUUGUAUGAAGUUCUUCCUGAAAAGAUUCUGGUCAUCCCUGUCUUAGCUUGGACUGCUCUAACAGAAUACCAUCGACUGGCUGGCCUUAAACAAUGGAAGUUUAUUUCUCACAGUUCUGGAGGCUGGGACCUUCAAGAUCAAGAUGCUGGCAGAUUCUGUGCCUGAACGUGUAACACCAAGACUGAACCCUAAGGUAAACCUUGGACUUUGGGUAUUGACGACGUGUCAGCGCAAGUUCAUCCUUGGUAACAAAUGUACCACCUGAGGUGUUUCCAGUGCCCUCCUCAUAGCUGCUUGUGCCUCCGGGUCACUGGUGCCUUGCUGCUGCUGGUGUCACUGCCAUUGCUGGCAUCGCCACUGAGGUCACUGAGAUAGCAGGCACCUUCAGCACCUCCAGGAUCACCUGGGCCAUGGGAACUGCUGCAGCGGGGACAUGCUGUGCAGGGCUCAGUGGCUUCCCCACCAUCACUCGUGUUUGUGGGUGGUCAAGUAGGAACUGGGAUUCCAGAAGUGCUGACUCACUGACUGUCUGACCAGCACUGUGUAAAAGUUGGCCUUUGCACCCUAGACGUAUGUUUUUGAAACAUCUGCGUGUGUCUGGGUUCCGGAUGUGAAAAAGUUCUCCCGUCCGAUGGUUUUCAGUAUAUGCCUGCUAACACUAUGCUAUACUACACUGAAAGGGAGCGUAUUUUGAUCAGUUCUGUCACCCACCUGCUAUGCCCGUGCCUGGAGCUGCCACAGGCCGCAGGGGAUCAUCAGAUUUGAGGAGCAGGAUCGCGACGACUCCGCUGUCUGGUCAUCUCAGAGCGCUGGGCCUCGUUCUUCUCUGAAAAGUGGGAGAAGGACCUAAGAAUAUGUUUGAAAGACAAGGCUACCACCUUCCCUUCAGUCCCCACCUCCCACUUACACAUACGCGCCGUGAAUACAACAGCACCAAGAGCUGCCCAAUCAGAGCACAUGGACUAGUUGAUCUGGAUUCCAGUAACUGGCAGACUUUUCACGGAGAGAGUGGCUUCUAACUUGGGCCUUGAAGCUUGGAUUUGGAGGAGCAAAGAGGGGCAGCAGGAAUCUUUAAAUUGGAGGAACAUCAUCAGCUAUAAAUCUGGAGACACAAAUAUGCAGGGUAUUAUAUGAGACCGAACAGAAUAAAAGUGACCAAGGCUCACGACUGAGAGAAGUGGGGUCAAAGGCAUGACAGAGCUUAAACCCUGGAAGCUAAGUUGAGAGGUUAGAAGGAGAUCCACUGAGAAAGAUGGUGGAGCACUUAGGGAAUACGUUCUAUGUUUUUCAGGCUUUGGACCCUCAAAUCUGGACUCAAAUAUAGGAUUAAUCUGGUAAACCACAAAAUCAAGACUACUUCAUGCUAAAUCAUGACUUUAUUCCCAGGAUUCCCUUGGGGUCUCUCCCGGUUUUGAGAAUCAGCACACUCAUACCCCACUCGACCAUCCCCUCGGCCUCCAUGGCUCCUCCAUUUACAUGGCCCCUGGCACAACACUACUUUACCAACAGUGAUUGGGGCACAGUUGUGCAAAACAGAAUUGAGUUCUGCUGCAUCUGAAAAAGUAGAGUGAGCUGGAGCAUGGUCUCGGUUGUGUUCUCUAAGGCUGAGCAGAGUCAGGCUGUACAACAGAGCUUCUUACAGUCACAAUCCAUUAUCUUUUCUGUAAAGCAGGGACGGUGAUGCCUCGGUGUUCCUAUUACUAGGUGUGGGGGCUGUAUGAGUUUCCUAGGAUUUCCAUGACAAGGUACCACAUCCAUGUGGCUUAAAACAACAGGAAAAUAUUGUUUCAUGGUUCUGGAGGCUGCAAGUCUGAAACCAAGUUAUUGAGUGGGCCCUGCUCUUGCUGAGAUCUUCCAGGGAGAGCCCUUCCUUGACUCUUCUAACUUCUGUGUUUGCAGACAUUCCUUGGUGUCCCUUGGCUUGUAGAUACAUCACUCCAACCUGCCUCCAUUGUCACAUGGCUGUUUUCUUUCUGUGUGUACCUGUCUUUGUGUCUCUUCUCCUCUCUUAGAAGGACGUAUUUCCUACUGGAUUAAGGGCCCACCCUCCUCCAGUAUGACUUCACCAUAAUUUGAUUAUAUCUCCCAAGACCCUAUUUCCACAAAAGGUCACAUUAACAGGCUCCAGGGACUUCAACACAGCUUUUUUGCAGGACACAGUCCAACUCAUAACAGAGACCACUAUCUGAGACAGAAGAAUGAGUCCUUCACAGGUUGGGAGAAACACAGCCUGCUUCCGCCGGAGCAGAGGGGUCCUGGAAGUGCCCUGUGCUGCCUGAAAACUUCUGAGCUGCAAUGCUAUGCUUCCA
rnacentral:lncRNA from 1 species